CCUACGGGAGGCUGCAGUGAGGAAUAUUGGUCAAUGGACGCAAGUCUGAACCAGCCAUGCCGCGUGCAGGAAGACGGCCCUAUGAGUUGUAAACUGCUUUUGUACGAGGGUAAACGCAGAUACGCGUACCUUUUUGAAAGUACUGUACGAAUAAGGAUCGGCUAACUCCGUGCCAGCCGCCGCGGUAAUACGGAGGAUCCAAGCGUUAGCCGGAUUUAUUGGGUUUAAAGGGUGCGUAGGUGGUGUGAUAAGUUGGUGGUGGAAUUCCGGGGCGCAACUGCGGCAUUGCCUGUGAUACUGGCGGGCUAGAGUUUAGUUGCGGUAGGCGGAAUGUAUGGGGUAGCGGGGAAAUGCAUAGAGA
rnacentral:rRNA from 1 species